rnacentral:lncRNA from 1 species
GUAUGACACUGUAUUGAUGUAUGUGAAAUGUAUAGAGUCUUUCAGUUAUCAGAUAAUGUCAAGGAGUUGACAGCAUGGUGUC